rnacentral:rRNA from 1 species
UACGUAGGGGGCAAGCGUUGUCCGGAUUUACUGGGCGUAAAGAGCGUGUAGGCGGCCAAGCAGGUCCGUUGUGAAAACUGGAGGCUUAACCUCCAGACGUCGACGGAAACCGCGUGGCUAGAGUCCGGAAGAGGAGAGUGGAAUUCCUGGUGUAGCGGUGAAAUGCGCAGAUAUCAGGAAGAACACCAAUGGCGAAGGCAGCUCUCUGGGACGGUACUGACGCUGAGACG